rnacentral:rRNA from 1 species
UACAGAGGGGGCAAGCGUUGUUCGGAAUUACUGGGCGUAAAGGGCGCGUAGGCGGCCAACUAAGUCGGACGUGAAAUCCCAAGGCUCAACCUUGGAACUGCGUCCGAUACUGGAUGGCUUGAAUCCGGGAGAGGGAUGUGGAAUUCCAGGUGUAGCGGUGAAAUGCGUAGAUAUCUGGAGGAACACCGGUGGCGAAGGCGGCAUCCUGGACCGGUAUUGACGCUGAGGAGCGAAAGCCAGGGGAGCAAACGGG